rnacentral:lncRNA from 1 species
CUCUGUUGCUCCUGCUCUUGCCCUGUGAUAAGCCGGCUCCCUCUUCAUCUUCUUUCAUGAGGCCUCAUCAGAAGUGGAGCAGAUGCUGGUGUCAUGCUUGCACAGCCUGCAGAAUGUCCCACCAGACAUUUUAAUCUAAUAUGGAGCAUCUUCAGACCAUCAGGAAUGCCCCUUAUCUGGCUUUCCCCUAAAAAUACCUGGAGCGUGUUUUCAGUCGUCUGGCCCUUGACCUUCGCUUUUGGGAUAAGGCAUGUUUCUGCAGGAUGAGUACUGGGAAGAUGUCUGGGGGGGCACAGCUGCCAAGUUUGAAGCUGUCUUAUCAUUGAUUCAACAAACACUGUUGCUUUCUUGUGAUCAAUAUCACAACUCAGAUCAAAAAAUGCGAUUUUCUACAUAAAAUAAAAACUCCACCCAAAUUA